rnacentral:rRNA from 1 species
CCGCAUGGUGGGUGUUGGAAAGAUUUAUCGGUUUUGGAUGGACUCGCGGCCUAUCAGCUUGUUGGUGAGGUAAUGGCUCACCAAGGCGACGACGGGUAGCCGGCCUGAGAGGGUGACCGGCCACACUGGGACUGAGACACGGCCCAGACUCCUACGGGAGGCAGCAGUGGGGAAUAUUGCACAAUGGGCGCAAGCCUGAUGCAGCGACGCCGCGUGAGGGAUGACGGCCUUCGGGUUGUAAACCUCUUUCAGUAGGGAAGAAGCGAAAGUGACGGUACCUGCAGAAGAAGCACCGGCUAACUACGUGCCAGCAGCCGCGGUAAUACGUAGGGUGCGAGCGUUAUCCGGAAUUAUUGGGCGUAAAGAGCUCGUAGGCGGUUUGUCGCGUCUGUCGUGAAAGUCCGGGGCUUAACCCCGGAUCUGCGGUGGGUACGGGCAGACUAGAGUGCAGUAGGGGAGACUGGAAUUCCUGGUGUAGCGGUGGAAUGCGCAGAUAUCAGGAGGAAC